rnacentral:rRNA from 1 species
GGGGGAAUUUUGCACAAUGGGGGAAACCCUGAUGCAGCGACGCCGCGUGAUUUAGAAGGCCUUCGGGUUGUAAAAAUCUUUUUUACGGGAUGAAAAUGACAGUACCGUAAGAAUAAGGUCCGGCUAAAUACGUGCCAGCAGCCGCGGUAAUACGUAUGGACCGAGCGUUGUCCGGAAUCAUUGGGCGUAAAGGGUACGUAGGCGGCCUAGUAAGUUAGAAGUGAAAUAAUAUAGCUCAACUAUAUAAAGCUUUUAAAACUGCUAGGCUUGAGAGAUGGAAGGGAAAGUGGAAUUCCUAGUGUAGCGGUGAAAUGCGCAGAUAUUAGGAAGAAUACCGGUGGCGAAGGCGACGUUCUGGUCAUCAUCUGACGCUGAGGUACGAAAGCGUGGGUAGCAAACAGG